GACGGAGGAUGCAAGCGUUAUCCGGAAUGAUUGGGCGUAAAGCGUCCGCAGGUGGCAGUUCAAGUCUGCUGUCAAAGACCGGGGCUUAACUUCGGAAAGGCAGUGGAAACUGAACAGCUAGAGUAUGGUAGGGGCAGAGGGAAUUCCUGGUGUAGCGGUGAAAUGCGUAGAGAUCAGGAAGAACACCAGUGGCGAAGGCGAGUCCCUGGACAACUUCUGACGCUGAGGCACGAAAGCUAGGGGAGCAAACAGG
rnacentral:rRNA from 1 species